rnacentral:sRNA from 16 species
GUCAACUACCCCUCCCUAAAUUCUGAGGAAUUUUGAGGAAGGGGCUUGUAAAUUAGCCCUUGUUGACCAGAUCACCAAUAGGAGGAAAGUAAUAUUGGUAAACGAUAGGAAGGAAUACAACAAUAGUUACGUUGGAAUAUCGCCUCAGUUCCAACCUCUAAG